GUGUUUGCUUCAGCAGCCCAUACACUAAAGUUGGAACGAUACAGAGAUUAGCAUGGCCCAUGCACAGGGAUGACACACAAAUUCAUGAGGCGUUCCGUUAAAAA